rnacentral:miRNA from 1 species
UUAGUCCUGCCUGUAGGUUUA